rnacentral:pre_miRNA from 1 species
UGGUGUUGUGUGUUAAACUGUAUUCCUAAACAACAUCUAUAGUUUGAUUCACAGCACAAGA